rnacentral:lncRNA from 1 species
CUAAUGUAUGGCGGUAAAAAUGUCUGAUAUUGAAGCACAUACAAUAUCCAAAUUUGAAUAUUUGAUGGCACUACCUCAUGAAUAUGUUAUAAACCCACUGCUUCUUUGAAAAAGCCUAUUUUAGGUUGUUCUUCUUAGGCUUCGUUUGGGAUUGCGAGGAGAUUGCAUUAUGUGCGGUGAAAAAAUACGAUAGAAAAAUACUUUAUUUGUUUUCGUACGUAAUAUUGUGUUCUGCAUAUCACGAAGAGUCGGUUACGAUAUAUUUUAUGCGAUCACACUGGAGAAUACAGAAGUAUAUCCUUAUAUACUUUUAUCCCAGCUCCAUUUUAUCUAAUGGUGUCAGAUGAGUCUCAAUACCAAACUAAGCCUUAAUGGAACUUCAUUGUGGAUCUUCCCCUUUUGGGCUUUAAAAGUUGAUUUUGAGAUAUUUUGCUACUUGGGCCUCCAUUUUUCAUUUUUUUUAAAAAAAUUUUCCCUUCAUACCAAGCAUGUAAAAACUGUUAAAACUUUUACGCCAAAAUUUUCUUUUCAAUCUACUUUC